GACAGAGGGGGCAAGCGUUGCUCGGAAUUACUGGGCGUAAAGGGCGCGUAGGCGGGAUGGCAAGUCGGUCGUGAAAUCCCUCGGCUCAACUGAGGAUCGUCGAUCGAUACUGCCGUUCUUGAGGAUUGCAGAGGAGACUGGAAUUCCCGGUGUAGCGGUGAAAUGUGUAGAGAUCAGCAGGAACACCCGUGGCGAAGGCGGCCCCCUGGGCCGAACCUGACGCUGAGGCGCGAAGGCUAGGGGAGCGAACGGG
rnacentral:rRNA from 1 species